UAGGGAAUCUUCGGCAAUGGACGAAAAGUCUGACCGAGCAACGCCGCGUGAGUGAAGAAGGUUUUCGGGAUCGUAAAACUCUGUUGGUAGAGAAGAACGUUGGUGAGAGUGGAAAGCUCAUCAAGUGACGGUAACUACCCAGAAAGGGACGGCUAACUACGUGCCAG
rnacentral:rRNA from 1 species